rnacentral:rRNA from 1 species
UUGGAGGGCAAGUCUGGUGCCAGCAGCCGCGGUAAUUCCAGCUCCAAUAGCGUAUAUUAAAGUUGUUGCAGUUAAAAAGCUCGUAGUUGAAUUUCGGGAUUGACACAUCGGUCGUGCCUUAAGGGGUAUGAACUGGUGUAGUCAAUUUCUCACCUUCUGGAGAGCCGCGAUGCCCUUAAUUGGGUGUCACGGGGAACCAGGACCUUUACUUUGAAAAAAUUAGAGUGUUUAAAGCAGGCAUUUUGCUUGGAUACAUUAGCAUGGAAUAAUAAAAUAGGACGGCAUGAUUCUAUUUUGUUGGUUUCUAAGAUCACCGUAAUGAUUAAUAGGGAUAGUUGGGGGCAUUAGUAUUCAAUUGUCAGAGGUGAAAUUCUUGGAUUUAUUGAAGACUAACUACUGCGAAAGCAUUUGCCAAGGAUGUUUUCAUUAAUCAAGAACGAAAGUUAGGGGAUCGAAGACGAUCAGAUACCGUCGUAGUCUUAACCAUAAACUAUGCCGACUAGGAAUCAGACGAUGUUAAUUUUUUAAUGACUCGUUUGGCGCCUUACGGGAAAC